GCAGUCGAGGGGUAGUUGGAGCUUGCUCCGAUGAGACCGGCGCACGGGUGCGUAACGCGUAUGCAACCUACCUUCAUCAGGGGGAUAGCCCGGAGAAAUCCGGAUUAACACCGCAUAACAUCAUUUCAUAGCAUUAUGGGAUGAUCAAACAUUUAUGGGAUGGAGAUGGGCAUGCGUGCCAUUAGCUAGUUGGCGGGGUAAGGGCCCACCAAGGCUACGAUGGCUAGGGGAUCUGAGAGGAUGGCCCCCCACACUGGUACUGAGACACGGACCAGACUCCUACGGGAGGCAGCAGUAAGGAAUAUUGGUCAAUGGGGGCAACCCUGAACCAGCCAUGCCGCGUGCAGGAAGACUGCCCUACGGGUUGUAAACUGCUUUUAUCCGGGAAUAAACCUUUCUACGUGUAGAGAGCUGAAUGUACCGGAAGAAUAAGGAUCGGCUAACUCCGUGCCAGCAGCCGCGGUAAUACGGAGGAUCCAAGCGUUAUCCGGAUUUAUUGGGUUUAAAGGGUGCGUAGGCGGCCUGUUAAGUCAGGGGUGAAAGACGGUAGCUCAACUAUCGCAGUGCCCUUGAUACUGAUGGGCUUGAAUGGACUAGAGGUAGGCGGAAUGAGACAAGUAGCGGUGAAAUGCAUAGAUAUGUCUCA
rnacentral:rRNA from 1 species